CACCAGACUCCUACGGGAGGCAGCAGUGGGGAAUAUUGCACAAUGGGGGAAACCCUGAUGCAGCAACGCCGCGUGAGUGAAGAAGUCAUUCGUGAUGUAAAGCUCUAUCAGCAGGGAAGAAAGAAAUGGCGGUACCUGACCAAGAAGCCCCGGCUAACUACGUGCCAGCAGCCGCGGUAAUACGUAGGGGGCAAGCGUUAUCCGGAUUUACUGGGUGUAAAGGGAGCGUAGACGGCGAUACAAGUCUGAAGUGAAAGCCCGGGGCUCAACCCCGGGACUGCUUUGGAAACUGUGUUGCUGGAGUGCUGGAGGGGCAAGCGGAAUUUCUAGUGUAGCGGUGAAAUGCGUAGAUAUUAGGAAGAACACCAGUGGCGAAGGCGGCUUGCUGGACAGUAACUGACGUUGAGGCUCGAAAGCGUGGGGAGCAAACAGGAUUAGAUACCCGAGUA
rnacentral:rRNA from 1 species